UGAAUCCGCGCGGGAGAGUUCCGGCACUGUGUGCCGGGCGCCGAAGGAGCAAGUCCCUCCCUUGAAUCUCUCAGGCCCCGUACCGCGCGUGACGA
rnacentral:ncRNA from 2 species